GAUGAACGCUGGCGGCGUGCUUAACACAUGCAAGUCGAACGGUGAAGCCAAGCUUGCUUGGUGGAUCAGUGGCGAACGGGUGAGUAACACGUGAGCAACCUGCCCUGGACUCUGGGAUAAGCGCUGGAAACGGCGUCUAAUACUGGAUAUGAGCUCUCAUCGCAUGGUGGGGGUUGGAAAGAUUUUUCGGUCUGGGAUGGGCUCGCGGCCUAUCAGCUUGUUGGUGAGGUAAUGGCUCACCAAGGCGUCGACGGGUAGCCGGCCUGAGAGGGUGACCGGCCACACUGGGACUGAGACACGGCCCAGACUCCUACGGGAGGCAGCAGUGGGGAAUAUUGCACAAUGGGCGGAAGCCCGAUGCAGCAACGCCGCGUGAGGGAUGACGGCCUUCGGGUUGUAAACCUCUUUUAGCAGGGAAGAAGCGAGAGUGACGGUACCUGCAGAAAAAGCGCCGGCUAACUACGUGCCAGCAGCCGCGGUAAUACGUAGGGCGCAAGCGUUAUCCGGAAUUAUUGGGCGUAAAGAGCUCGUAGGCGGUUUGUCGCGUCUGCUGUGAAAUCCCGAGGCUCAACCUCGGGCCUGCAGUGGGUACGGGCAGACUAGAGUGCGGUAGGGGAGAUUGGAAUUCCUGGUGUAGCGGUGGAAUGCGCAGAUAUCAGGAGGAACACCGAUGGCGAAGGCAGAUCUCUGGGCCGUAACUGACGCUGAGGAGCGAAAGGGUGGGGAGCAAACAGGCUUAGAUACCCUGGUAGUCCACCCCGUAAACGUUGGGAACUAGUUGUGGGGACCAUUCCACGGUUUCCGUGACGCAGCUAACGCAUUAAGUUCCCCGCCUGGGGAGUACGGCCGCAAGGCUAAAACUCAAAGGAAUUGACGGGGACCCGCACAAGCGGCGGAGCAUGCGGAUUAAUUCGAUGCAACGCGAAGAACCUUACCAAGGCUUGACAUACACCAGAACACCGUAGAAAUACGGGACUCUUUGGACACUGGUGAACAGGUGGUGCAUGGUUGUCGUCAGCUCGUGUCGUGAGAUGUUGGGUUAAGUCCCGCAACGAGCGCAACCCUCGUUCUAUGUUGCCAGCACGUAAUGGUGGGAACUCAUGGGAUACUGCCGGGGUCAACUCGGAGGAAGGUGGGGAUGACGUCAAAUCAUCAUGCCCCUUAUGUCUUGGGCUUCACGCAUGCUACAAUGGCCGGUACAAAGGGCUGCAAUACCGUGAGGUGGAGCGAAUCCCAAAAAGCCGGUCCCAGUUCGGAUUGAGGUCUGCAACUCGACCUCAUGAAGUCGGAGUCGCUAGUAAUCGCAGAUCAGCAACGCUGCGGUGAAUACGUUCCCGGGUCU
rnacentral:rRNA from 1 species